rnacentral:rRNA from 1 species
UACGUAGGGUGCAAGCGUUAAUCGGAAUUACUGGGCGUAAAGCGUGCGCAGGCGGUGAUGUAAGACAGUUGUGAAAUCCCCGGGCUCAACCUGGGAACUGCAUCUGUGACUGCAUCGCUGGAGUGCGGCAGAGGGGGAUGGAAUUCCGCGUGUAGCAGUGAAAUGCGUAGAUAUGCGGAGGAACACCGAUGGCGAAGGCAAUCCCCUGGGCCUGCACUGACGCUCAUGCACGAAAGCGUGGGGAGCAAACAGGAU